rnacentral:rRNA from 1 species
UAGGGAAUCUUCGGCAAUGGACGGAAGUCUGACCGAGCAACGCCGCGUGAGUGAAGAAGGGUUUCGGAUCGUAAAGCUCUGUUGUUAGAGAAGAACGUUGGUAGGAGUGGAAAAUCUACCAAGUGACGGUAACUAACCAGAAAGGGACGGCUAACUACGUGCCAGCAGCCGCGGUAAUACGUAGGUCCCGAGCGUUGUCCGGAUUUAUUGGGCGUAAAGCGAGCGCAGGCGGUUCUUUAAGUCUGAAGUUAAAGGCAGUGGCUUAACCAUUGUACGCUUUGGAAACUGGAGGACGUGAGUGCAGAAGGGGAGAGUGGAAUUCCAUGUGUAGCGGUGAAAUGCGUAGAUAUAUGGAGGAACACCGGUGGCGAAAGCGGCUCUCUGGUCUGUAACUGACGCUGAGGCUCGAAAGCGUGGGGAGCAAACAGG